AGUGAACGCUGGCGGUAGGCCUAACACAUGCAAGUCGAACGGCAGCACAGUAAGAGCUUGCUCUUACGGGUGGCGAGUGGCGGACGGGUGAGGAAUACAUCGGAAUCUACUUUUUCGUGGGGGAUAACGUAGGGAAACUUACGCUAAUACCGCAUACGACCUACGGGUGAAAGCAGGGGAUCUUCGGACCUUGCGCGAUUGAAUGAGCCGAUGUCGGAUUAGCUAGUUGGCGGGGUAAAGGCCCACCAAGGCGACGAUCCGUAGCUGGUCUGAGAGGAUGAUCAGCCACACUGGACCUGAGACACGGUCCAGACUCCUACGGGAGGCAGCAGUGGGGAAUAUUGGACAAUGGGCGCAAGCCUGAUCCAGCCAUACCGCGUGGGUGAAGAAGGCCUUCGGGUUGUAAAGCCCUUUGUUGGGAAAGAAAAGCAGCAGGUUAAUACCCCGCUGUUCUGACGGUACCCAAAGAAUAAGCACCGGCUAACUUCGUG
rnacentral:rRNA from 1 species